rnacentral:rRNA from 1 species
GAAGAAGUGAAUUAAGGGCAUUUGGUGGAUGCCUUGGCAUGCACAGGCGAAGAAGGACGUGAUACGCUGCGAAAAGCCGUGGGGAGCUGCGAAUAAGCUUUGAUCCAUGGAUCUCCGAAUGGGGCAACCCACCUUAAAUACCUAGAAAAUCAUUCCUGUUGGAAUGAUUUGUCUAGUCUUGUUUGAUCUCACGUGCCGUAUCGCACUUCCUUUUGAAGUGCUGGCACUGCGAUGGCGCGCUGCACGAGCAGCGACGGACUAGCGUCCUGUAUGGGUACCUUGCUCAAGCUUGAGUGUGGCAGCCAUACAGACCGAUAGGUCGUCGCCAACAGUUUGGCGCCCGUCCGGAGCGAAGCAGCGCAAGCUGCGACAGCGUGAGGACAAAACAAGCCCGGCACGUCCGGGUGGGACAGAGCAACCGGAAUGGUUUCUAGGUAUUGUUAUAAGGUAUCUUACUUUCGAAUACAUAGGGGUAAGAAGCGAACGCAGGGAACUGAAACAUCUAAGUACCUGCAGGAAAGGACAUCAACCGAGACUCCGCAAGUAGUGGCGAGCGAACGCGGACCAGGCCAGUGGCAAUGAU